UUUUUUUUUUUUUUUAAUAAAUUUUUUGAUUGAAAGUCCUCUUGAUCCAGUUUUAAGAACCACACUUUUUUUUUAAUCCCCAUUGUUUUUUUUAUCUGUAUCCACAUACUUCAUUAGAGAAUAUUCAAGAUAAUCUCAACUUUCUAUGUUAUUCAAGAUAACACAGAAAUGAAAAUGCAAUCACAUAGUUAACAUAUAUAAUUUUAGUCUGAAAAACUUCCCUCUGGGUCAUGGAAUGAAUAACAUUUAUAUUAUUUUUUCUUUUCCCUAUUCCAUCAAGGUGCUAUGCACAUAUCUCUAUUCUGACUCUAAAGUUGUAAUUACAUUGUAAUUGUAAUUCUUAUGUCAGUUGACUUACUAUAUUGUAAAUGUGUUAAUCCCAGAAAUAUACAUCUUUCUAAAUGAAAGCUGUCUAAAUUUAAGGUAUACAACAUGAUGAACUGAUAUACAUAUACAGAGUGAAAUUACUAGAGGCAAGAUGGUUAGUGUAUCAUCUCCUCACAUAGUUACCUUUUUUUUGUGAUGAGAACACCUGAUAUCUCUCUUAGUAUAUUUUCAGUAUUCAAUAUAGUAUUAUUAACUAUAGCCAUACACUGUACAUUAAAUCUCUAGAUUUACUUAUCCUAGACAAAUAUAACUUUGUACCCUUUGACCAACAUCUCAUUUACCCCCAAGCCCAGUCCCUGGUAACCACCAUUCUACUCUCCACUUCUGAGUUUGACUUUUUAAGAUUGCAUGUAUAAAUGGAUUAUGUAGUAUUUGUCUUUGUAUGCUUGGUUUAUUUCAUUUUGUAUAACAUCCUCUGAUGUUCAUCUAUGUUACCACAAAUGAGAGGAUUUCCUUCUUUUUUAAGUCUGAAUAAUAUUUCAGUCUGUCUGUCUGUCUGUCUAUCUAUCUACAUAUCACAUUUUCUUUAUCCACUCAUUUGCCAAUGGACACUCAGGUUGAUUCCAUAUCUUAACUACUAUGUAUAAUGCAGCAUGUAGGUAGCUCUUUGAGAUAAUUAUUUUAUUUGGAUACAUACCCAGAAGUAGAAUUGCUGGAUCAUAAGAAUCAAGUAUUUUCAAGUCAUUUAAUUUCUACUGGACAUUUAAAGGGCUUUCUGGAAUACAGCCUAGUAAAUGGCAAGAGACCAACAAAGCUUAAAUAAAAGUCACACAGAGCAGAAAAAGAAUAUUUCAUUUGCUAUGACAGAAGUCUCAGGAGUGGAAGGAGGUACAAAGAGGAAAAUAAAUGUUCAUCAUAAAUGAGAUGCUGGGCUACAUAUGCCUGCCUAUCUAAUUAGGCCCUAAGAUGAUUCCUAAGGCAGCACAAAGCAGCAAGGCAGGAUGCUUAAAGAAUGUUGGAUUAUGAAGCAAGAAGAAAUGAGCUCUGGCUGGGGGAGUUGGCAUGUUUUUUAAAACUCUUUAAUUUAAAAUAAUUACAGAUUAAUCUGAAACUGCAAAUAAAAAUAUAGAGUGGCUCUAAUGUAUGCUUUCCAGUUCCCCCUAAUGAUUACAUUUUAUAUAACUAUAGUAUGAUAUCAAAUCCAGGAAACUGACAUUGGUGCGAUGUCUGUGUAUAGUUAGUUCUAUACCAUUUAUCACAUAUGCAAACUAGUGUAAUUGCCAUGGCAAGUGAGAUACAGAAUUAUUUAUUAACCACAAAAACAUUCCUUUAUGGUCACCCAUAUCUCCUCCUCAUCUCCUAUUCUUCAAUGCUGGCAACUGAUAAUUCAUUUUCCAUCUUUAUAUAAAAUUUUAUCAUUUUGAGAAUGUUAUAUAAUUGGAAUCAUUUACUAUAUGACUUUUUGAGAUUGGCUUUUUUCACUCAGCCUAAUACCCCUGAGAUAUACCAAGCUAUUGAGUAUAUCAAUAGUUCAUUACUUUUUAUUGCUCAAUAGUAUUUUAUGGUAUAAAUGUACUAAAGUUUAACCACUUCCUAGUAAAAAAAAACCAUUUUGGUUGUUUCCAUUUUUGUCACAAAUAAAGUGAAUUAUUUAUAUUUAAUGUAAUUAGUGAUAUGUUAAGAUGUAAGUCAGUUGUUUUAAUUUUUAUUUAUUCUGUUUGUGGCCUUUUUAACUUUUUGAACCUAUUUAUUGCUAUCUUUUGCCAAAUUUUGGACAAUUUCAGCCAUUAUUUCUUCAAAUAUUUUUAUAGUCCUCUCUUCUCUGUCCUCUCCUUCUGGGAGUCUGAUAAGAUGAAUAUCUGACCUUUUGUUAUAGACCUAUCAGGUCCCUGAGGCACUGUUAAUUUUUUUUUCAGUCUAUUUUCUCUCUUAUAUUCUGAUUGGGUAAUUUGGAUUGCUCCAUUUGAAGAUUCACUGAUUCUUUCCUCUUCCCUCCCUAUUUUGUGUUGAACACAUCCAGAGUUUUAAAAUUUUGCUUAUUAGAGCUUUCAGUUCUAAUAUUUUCAUUUGGUUCACCUCUAUAUUUUUAUUUCUCUGCUAAAGUUUUCUAAUUUUUCAUUUGUUUAAGCACAUUGUAAUUGCAUGUUGAAUUUUAUGAUGGCUGCAUUAAAAAUCCUGUGGAAUAAUCACAACAUCUGUUAGCUAUCUUUUCUAAUUCAGAUUUUUCUGCUUCUUGGUAUGGUGAGUAAUGUCUUUUUUCUUUUUUUUAUGGCCACACCUGUGGCAUGUGGACGUUCCAGGUCUAGGGGUCAAAUCAGAACUGCAGCCGAGGGCUAUGCCACAGCCACUGCAACAAUGGAUCUGAGUCGCGCCUUCAAUGUAUGCUGUACCAUGUGGCACUGGUGGAUCCUUAACCCACUGAGUGAUGCCAGGGAUCAAAUUUGCAUUCCCACAGAGAUAAUGUUGGGUCCUUAACCAGCUGAGCCACAACAAGAGCUCCUGAUGAGUGAUUUUUUAUUUUUAUCUUUGACAUAUUGGGCAUUACAUUAUAAGACUCUGGAUCUUAUUUAAAUCUUGCAUGUUAAAAGGCCUUCUCUGACAACAUGCUGGUAUGGGGAAGAGGGUGCCACCUUAUCACUAUCAGGUGGGGACAGAGGUAUAGGUUUCCUGCUUGGUCUUUACUGACACACUUGGCAGAGGGAAAGGUGCCCCAUCAUUGUUGGGUGACAAUAGGAGUUUGGGUUCCUCAUUUAAGUUGUCCACUGAUACCACACAGGUUUGCUAGUUUGGAGAGGGAGAGAUAGAUGUUACUGUUCCCCAUGUGGCCUCCGGAGGAUGGUGGUGGGCUUGUUCUCACAGCAAGGUUCUAAGGGAGGUGGGACUUGGUACUAGAGGAAGGUGGUUAAGUCCUGGAAUUCCAUUGGCCCUUUCUGACACCACUAUCAUGGGGAGGGGGGAGUCUUACUAUUUCUGGAAGUAGUGAAAGAGGUAGUAGGGAUAAUAAACCAGCUAAUACUUAGCACUUAACAAUGUGAGAUACCAUGUGAAGAGCCUCACCCGAUUUACCUCAUUUCAUCUAUACAAUAUUCCCAUACAGCAGCAUUGCUAUUCUUGUUUUCAGGCAAGAAAACUCAGGUUUAGAGAUAAUAAAUUAUGGCAGAGUCAGGAUUCCAAUCCAGGCAGUCUCACUGCUAAGCCUAGGUCUGAAACUGCUACACCAUAGUGAGGAUUAAUCAAGAUGACACGUGAAAGUGCUUGAAAAUUAGAAAGCACUAAACAAGUGUGAGGGAAUUUUUAUUACCACUUUUCACAGUACUUUGACAAGUGACCAUGAUUAGGUAAAUGAAAAUUCAGGCUUCAUCCAAUGCUAAUGAAUCAUUUAAACAUUUUUCCCCACUGUACCAGCUAUCCCAAAAGAUAUGAUUCAUAUUCAAUAAAAGCUGCAAAGCACUGCUUAAAGUUUUAAAGGUAGAACUUUAGGGUAAUACAUGUACACACUAUUUCCUCAUAGGUAUUUUUACAUUUUGCACAUAUAGAAAUGGGAGUUGAAUUUUGGUUUAAUCUCUUUAGAUAGGUUUAAAUAGAAAUUGUGAGGAGAGAGGUGUUAUGGAUAAUCACCGAGCCAUGCUACCUACUUUAUAGAAAGGAGAUUCUGAUCUGGAGGAAUCCCUUCAGUUUAAGGAAGUAGUUAAAUGUAGAUCAUGAAGUAGAAGUAUAUACAUUCAUAUGAAAAAGAAAAUGUAUGUCAUCCACAUGUCAUACCCAUAAGCUCAAUGGAUGAAAAUAAAGACAGAGUCCUGCUUCAAAUUUCAUAGGUCAGUAAACUGUAAUUAGAAUUCCAUAUCAUAAAUAUGACCCUAGAAAUAAACUCAGAAGGAAGGCAGAAGCAACACUGGAGGAGGUAACUCCUGAGCUGAGUCUCACAGGAAGAGAACUUAGCUUGGUGGGCUGGCAGUGGUGUGGGGCAGUAGGGAGUACGCAAAAGGAUGCCUGAAAGAGUAUGGACAUUCAGGGAGCUGCAGGUUAGUGGGUAUAGCCAGAGCAGCAGGAAAUGUGAUUAUUAGUAUGCUUCAUUAAGGAUUUUGGUUCUUAAUCUUCAAGGUGAUGUAAGCCAAUGAAAGAUUCAUUUUAGAAACAGGACUCUCAUCAUAAUGUGUAGGCUGUUAUAGAAAGAUUACACUAAAGACACAGAAGAGGGAUACAAUAUUACUGCAAAUGAGAGAUGAUGUGGCACAUAGAAUAAUCCGAUUAAUUGCAUAUUUAGGGAAUGAGGAGGAAGAAGAGUGAAGUGAAGUAUGGUUUUAAAACUUCCUAGGUUUCUGGCUUAGAUAGUAGUGUUAUUUCACAGUAAGCAGGGGAAGACAGGCCCAGUUUUGGGGGCAUGCUAAGUUUCAGAUAUUGGGUAUGGAGAUGCUGAUUUGGAAUUGUCAGUGUAUGGACAAUAAUUGAAGCCAUAAACAUAAAACUGUCCAUUAAGAUGGUAUAGCCUGAUUGAGAGGAGAAGGAAAAACUCAAAAGAGAAUCCUAGGAAAUAUCAACGUUUGCAAAAUGGUUCACUAGAAGGAAAGUCCAGAGAGGGAUUUUACACAAACCAAAGGAGGGGAGAUUUUCAACAUGGAAGUCACUGGUAACCGGGUGAAAGCACUCUGGUGGAAUGGUGGGAGAAGAAGCCAAACUAGAGUGGGUAGAAAGUGAAUGUGUGGUAUGGGAGUGAAAAGAGUGGAUGCUGACAGCUCUUUAAGAUGCUUAGAUGUGACAGACAGUGGUGAUAAGUAUGACCAGCAGCCAAUGAGCUGCCAUUUCUUUUCUACUGGAAAUAAAAGAGUGCCUAAUGAUAGUAAUACAAUAAAGCUUAAUUUUUUGGAGCUUAGACAAAAACACAUGUAAAAAUGAAACAGAAAAAUAUGAAAGUGCUAAUCUUAGGAUGUAUAAAAUCUGAUAGAAGCCAGAUUUUCCCAACUAUAGGCAACAAUAAGUAGCUUAAAAAAUUAUGUUGCUUGGAGUUCCCAUCAGUGGUUAAUGAAUCCGACUAGGAACCAUGAGGUUGUGGGUUCAAUCCCUGGCCUUGUUCAGUGGGUUAAGGAUUCGGUGUUGCUGUUAGCUGUGAUGUAGGUUGCAGACUCGGCUCGGAUCCUGCGUUGCUGUGGCUGUGGUGUAGGCCAGCGGCUACAUCUCCGAUUAGACCCCUAGCCUGGGAACCUCCAUAUGCCAAGGGAGCGGCCCUAGCAAAGACAAAAAGACGAAAAAUAAAUAAAUAAAAUUAAAAAAUAAAAAUUAUGUUGCUUAUUUGUUCUUCUAAAACUACCUAUCAAAUAUCUAUCAAACUGUAUGUAAACUGCAGAGUUUAAAAAAGCCUUCUGGAUAGUCUAAUCUGCAAUCCCACACCUUAGAUGAGACUUCUUGCCUUAGAAAGGCACUCCAGGAAAGCAAGUCAGUUCAAUUCAGAAAUGUUGGUUUAAGUGUCUUAAGGUGCCCAAUAGAAGAUGUGCAGGCAAAGGCAAUGGCUUUAGUAUAGCUUCCAAUAGAGAAUCCAGAAAUAAACCCAGACACCUUUGGUCAAUUAAUCUUUGAUAAAGGAGGCAAGAAUAUAAAAUGGGAAAAAGACAGUCUUUUCAGCAAGUAUUGCUGGGAAAUCUGGACAGCUGCAUGCAAAUCAAUGAAACUGGAACACACCCUCACACCAUGCACCAAAAUAAACUCAAAAUGGUUGAAAGACUUAAAUAUAAGACAAGACACAUCAAACUCCUGGAAGAGAACAUAGGCACACAUUCUCUGACAUCAACCUUAAAAAUGUUUUCUAAGGUCAGUCUCCCAAAGUAAUAGAACUAAAAGCAAAAAUUAACCAAUGGGACCUAGCUUUUACACAGCAAAGGAAACCAAAAAAGAAAACAAAAAGACAACUUACAGAAUGGGAGAAAAUAGUUUCAAAAGAUGCAACUGACAAGAGCCUGAUCUCUAAAAUAUACAAACAACUUAUACAACUCAACAGCAAAAAAGCCAACAACCCAAUUGAAAAAUGGGCAAAGGACCUGAAUAGACAUUUUUCCAAGAAGGAUAUACAGAUGCACCACUAACUCUGGAUGUGACCCUGCACGAGUUAUUUAACCUCUUUAAAUCUGUUCCCUCAUCUAAAACUUGCAAGGGUUGAAUGAGAGAAUAUUUAAAGUUCUUUAGAGCUUUUGAUAUUUUAAGAUUUGUGGAUAAGUGGGUCUAAGAUUGUUGAAUUAUACAUUCUUUUCUUUCUACUCAGCGACUUUCAAGAGCAUAUGGAAAGUUUUUCUUCCAUGCCUCCUGCUCCAGACGCUUACCAUUCUGUUUCCACCUGCCUGAUUCCCACUCCCUACGACACUUCCUCAAAGAAGCCCUCUCUAACCUUCCUAUUAGGAAGGACUCUCUCCUUUCACUGACCUUUCAGAACAUUGGAUCUUUACUUUGCUCAUGGCACACUUUGCUUUGGCAUCCAUGUCUUAUUUUACUAGACCAGAGGAUAGCAAACUUUUUCUAUAAAGGACCAGAGAGUAAAUAUUCUUUGCUCUGCAGUCAUAUACAGUCUCCAUCACUACCACUCAACUCAACCACUGUUGGGAGAAAACAGCCGUAUGUAACAAAUGGGUUACAUACUUAUUCCAAUAAAACUUUAUUUACAGCAGGCGAAGCUUUGGCCUGUAGGUUCUAGGUUGUUGGCCCUUGUGCUAGACUAUAAUGUUCUUGAGAGCAAGUUCCAUACUACACUGUCUUAGCAUUCCUUAUGAUGCCUUGUAUAACAUAUUCUUGCCUAAAUAAGGCACACAAAUACAAAGAAUAAAUUAUAUAUGCUUAAAAUAAGAAAAUCGAUGGUGCCUCCUCCAUGUUUUCCAUAUCAAGAAAAAAAUGAGAGAAUGGAUAUAAGCGCAUGUGAAAGUGGUACAGUCCUUGGCCUCCCAGUUUGUUUCUUCCCUCAGUAAUCCAUCCAAUGUGUACACAUUGCUGCCUUUUAGAAGGUACUUCUUCUCUUCUAAAUCUAGCAAAAAGCAAAAUUUUACUCAGUUUGCAAUGCCAAAAGCCCUUAAGUAAACAAAGGCACUUUUCCUUCAAUUUUUUGUUUUGAAAACUGUCAGAAAAGCCAAAGAAUAGUAAACAAUGAACUAUACUCUACCUAGAUUCAUUGAUUAUCACUUGGCUACAGCACAUUUUAAAGAUAAAUUUU
rnacentral:lncRNA from 1 species